rnacentral:misc_RNA from 1 species
UCUCUCUCUCUCUCUCUCUCCAAUACUCCCAUAUUAAUUUGUAAAAGAUCUUAGUUAAGAACAAGUGAGGUAAAAUUCCUUGCAAUGAGAAGAGGAUAACAAGUGGAGAUCACAAAGUUUAUUUAGGGUGCAUCAAUGGUACAAAGCAGAAUGCAAACAAGUGGAGGAACAGGAUGAAAAGAAGAAAAUGACAGAUAGGAUUAAAUGAUCCAAGAAUAGGCUGGAAAAUUGAUUUCUUAUCAACAAACAAAAAUGUGAAGAAAAGACAAAAGUAUUCUGGAACAUGAUAGGCGUUGAUCAAGAUAUGAAUCAACAAAAUUCAGCAACGAAGGAUAAGAGCAAAAUAACCAAAUAGAAGCAUGUAUACUGCAGUAUUAUACAAUGACAACAUCCCAAGUUUUUCCCAUUAUUUUGAGAAAACUAAGCAUCUUUUAAGUCUGUAAACAAGAUCACGCAUAGUUAAUAGCAUAAGACAUACACAAUAGCUGAAACUGCACGGCAGUAUCUCUCCCACAUGCUGCGAAACCUUGGUUGACCUCCGAGAUCCCACAACUUUAUUGUGACAUUACCUUUUGUUACCUUCUUCAUAUUAAAUCCUACCUGUAGGUAAAAGAUAUGAUGUGAUUGACAAGUCGAUGAAUUAAAUCUACACAAAUGAGAAAUACUCAGGUCAUAUUUCUCAUAAUGUUACAAAAGUUCUUUUAAGAAGAGGACGCACUGUUGGGAUCAUGUCUUCACUAUAUCCACCA